GGUUCGAAAUAACUGAUUUGUUAAUAUGAAGGAUCUGACUGUGAAGAGGAAGGGAGGUUGUUAGUGGUAAAUCGGUUACAAACUCUAAACAGCCGAGUUGCAGAGCAAAACUCGGAAGAAAGAGAAAAAAAGUUCCCUGUGAUAGUUAUUGGAUUUGAAGCCGGGGGUAGUGGGGUUGUCAACUGUUUUCAUAUAUACAACUAUUUUUAUCAUUUCUCAUUUCUUUCUUCGCUGUUGCUCACAAAACCUCAGAAGUUUAGGGUUGUUCAAAAGGAUUUUACUUCAUCUUAUCGAUCUGCAUACUUCUUGAUUUAAGUUUGGACUAUUAACAAAAUCCUAAGAUGGGGGAUCUUAUCCGGAGGCUUCUUCGUCGUAGGAAGUACAAAAUAAAUCUUGCGUUUGUGUCGUUUGACAAUGGUGUAAUCCAUCGCCAGCGGAGUGCAUUUAUAUUGUGUCAUCUUAUCGAACAAGAAAAGGAUCAGUUACAUCACGCGGUACAAGUCCUGACACCACAAGUCGGAAACAUACCAUGAUAUAAUCCGGAAGAUAUCCACGACCCCCCUGUGAUUCAAAGAGCUCAAACAUCGGCUUUUCAAGUUCCUUAUGAUGAAGGUAGUCAAAUAUUUUAUAAAAAAGGCAAAAAAAGACCAAGAGAAACAGAUGGACAAAAACGAGAGAAAGUUAGGGAAUUAUCUGCGAAUGACGGAGGAGGCAAGUGCUCGAUGAAGAAAAUCGUUUAAGAUUUUGGAAAAAAUGCACUGCACGGGAGUACUUUGAGUUCGAGAGACUAAUCUGUAAAAUUAUGGCCUAAACCAAGAUAUUUGCCUUUCUAGAUUCAAUUCGGUCACAAAAAAGGAGAAGGGUCAGUCUGUUGGAAGAUAAGCUGAGAAUGUGUGGGGAUCAAUGGAGAUUGGUCGAUUAUGAGUGAUGUGUUUAGAUAAUCAAUAAAGUCUUAGAAGUGUUCAAGAGAGUUUAAGCAAUGAUAAAGGUAAGUCUUUGUGCAUUUGCUAAACAUCGUCGGAACAGUUGGUACAACGGUUCGUGAACCGCGAGGAUUGUUCACGAGUCAGGGUGCUACGAUUCGUGAACCGAGUUCGCCAACCCUACUAGACUCUGAAACUCAGAUGGAGACAGUUCAUGAACUGAGUUUGCCAACUGCUAACCAAUUUAUCCAACAUACAAUUCAGUUCACCGCGGUUUGUCAACCGGGUUCGUGAACCGUCCACGACUAAACUUAAGGUUUUCAAACUGAGUUAGCCAACCUUCCAUGUAUUUAUGGUUCGCUAACCUACCCUGAGCAGAAAUAUCAGUAAGUUCAUAUUUCUCUCUUAUGAUGUAUUAAAACAUUCC